rnacentral:rRNA from 1 species
UACAGAGGUGGCAAGCGUUGUUCGGAAUUACUGGGCGUAAAGGGCGAGUAGGUGGCCAUCUAAGUCAGACGUGAAAUCCCCCGGCUUAACCUGGGAACUGCGUCUGAUACUGGACGGCUAGAGUUUGGGAGAGGGAUGCAGAAUUCCAGGUGUAGCGGUGAAAUGCGUAGAUAUCUGGAGGAACACCGGUGGCGAAGGCGGCAUCCUGGACCAAUAUUGACGCUGAGGAGCGAAAGCUAGGGGAGCAAACGGG